rnacentral:rRNA from 1 species
GAUGAACGCUGGCGGCGUGCCUAAUACAUGCAAGUCGAGCGAACAGACGUGGAGCUUGCUCCUCUGACGUUAGCGGCGGACGGGUGAGUAACACGUGGAUAACCUACCUAUAAGACUGGGAUAACUUCGGUAAACCGGAGCUAAUACCGGAUAAUAUAUUGAACCGCAUGGUUCAAUAGUGAAAGACGGUUUUGCUGUCACUUAUAGAUGGAUCCGCGCCGCAUUAGCUAGUUGGUAAGGUAACGGCUUACCAAGGCGACGAUGCGUAGCCGACCUGAGAGGGUGAUCGGCCACACUGGAACUGAGACACGGUCCAGACUCCUACGGGAGGCAGCAGUAGGGAAUCUUCCGCAAUGGGCGAAAGCCUGACGGAGCAACGCCGCGUGAGUGAUGAAGGUCUUCGGAUCGUAAAACUCUGUUAUUAGGGAAGAACAAAUGUGUAAGUAACUAUGCACGUCUUGACGGUACCUAAUCAGAAAGCCACGGCUAACUACGUG